rnacentral:lncRNA from 1 species
CACUGCGUGUGCGUUGAUGUACACCCACGGGGAGAGCGAAACAAUUACCUUCUGGAAGUUCUCUUGCAGGAGGUUGUGUGCCCCGGGUCUCACCAAGAGGGCUCAUUAAAUCAUAGCCACUUGUUACAUUAAGGUAAUUACACUUAGCUUGUCAAUCAACAUUUUCUCUCUUUUUAUACUGAACAAUCUCUUCCAUAGUAUUCUGGCUAGAAACAUUUUAAAAGCUUCAUGUUUGGUUUCCGUAAGUGCAUAAAAGUGUGUAUUUUUAAACUUCUUAAAGGAACUUGAUCGGUAUAACACAAAUAAUUUUAAAUAAGAACUUAAGAAAACCUAUUUCCUGAAAUCUUUCACAGAUGCAGCAUGGGGACCACAGCACAUACAUGUAGGUAAUUGUGUUAACUGAGAAGCAGUACAGUCCCUUGUGAAGCUCCUGCUGUCAGAGAAGUUUGUAAUGCCUGUAAAUUUUAUCCAUCUGUAAUUCAACCAGAACCCUCCAAUUUAAACAGACCUGAACUGAGCUUGAAGCUUCCUGCACAAAGUCAGGUACCUUGCAGAUAGUGCUUUUAGCACAGGUAGUGGCAAAGGUAAACCAUGUACACAAAGGACUUCCCUUGCAGGGACUGAGCUCAUCAAAGCUGCUCCUUUCAUGUAUUCAGGCUGAACACUAAAACCAGAUCAGUAAGAUGCAAGCACAGAAUGGUUAGUUAAAUAAAUAGGAAGUAUGGGUGGUCACUGGUCCUCAACUAAAAAUAGCAUCAGUAUUUUCCACCACCAGUAGUUUCCAGAGCUGGAGAAUGCAAAACACCCAUUACAGCAGCUGUAGACAACUAAAUGAUAAAUUAAGAGUCUAAAUGUAGACUCUUAAUGAUAAAUUGGUAUAAAAUAUUAGAUGUGGGUGUAGAUGCACCCUGGGUUCUCAGUGACUGUGUUGAGCACAGUGAGCUUCUUUUAAGAUUCCAGGCAAAGAAGUAAAAUGAGAAACAGAGUGCUGAAACGUAUGAUUGUUCGGUCUACAAAGGAAGAGAGAACAUCUCCACCGCUCCAUAGGCAAGGAAGCAAUCCCUGGCCAGGCCCCAGAGUGUGCUCCAGCUUGUGCAGCACAGGAUCUGCGCUGGAGUUUGGAAUUAAGUGUCUUCAGUCAGCAAGUUGUGUUCUAACAACAGUACUGAACUGUAAGGCAGCAUGUUUCACCUCAUGAGAAAGUAACUGAAAAUAUCAGUCCCUGGAAGGAUUCACAGAGAAUCAAAGAGAUAAUGAGAGAAACCUCAGGAUAACACUCACAUAAAAUGGGAAUUACCAGACACUAUAUAUUACCACUUUCCUGGUUGAAUUUACUGUAUAUUGCAGAAUGUGAUACCUUACAUCUGCUAUUAAAAAAUAAAAAAUGUAAGUCCCUCCA